UUUAGAUUCAAACAUGUGACUGGAUGACAUAUGGAACAGGACUGAGCUAGACAUCUGGACCAGCCGGAAUAUUGUCUAAAAGAAAUCAUGGCCAUACAUUGGAAGAAAAAGCUCAAUUCUGCAAUGAAAUCGUAUUCCCCUCCUGAAUUUUGUUUUUAAACUUGGGAUAGUCAGUGUUGACUCUGGUUUACUUCCUGGAGUAGUCCCUGCAGAUUUCUUGGCAAGAUUUCAGAAGUGAUAUACCAUAGUCUUCUUCCAAGGGCUGAGAGAGAAUGACUGGCCUAAGGGCUACCUUUGUGUCUAAGUUCAGCCAUUCACUGGACACCCCUCACUCUGAAGGAUGGCAUUUUGAAAAGGAGACAGCACAUUUUUGUGCCAAACGAUUACAUGUUGUGUCAGGCAGUGGGAUGUGAUCAGAUAGAAAAGAAUGUCUCCAUUGUUCAGGCAGACAAAUGCUACAGCUUCCCAAAUUAAUAGUGAAUAUUGAUUUUUUUCCCCCUUUGUACUUACAUGCCAUGCAAUCAGAAUUAAAAUUAUAGUACACAAUAGGCCUUCCCAGGAAAGUUAAAUCAGAAUUGGAAUUUUUUUAAAGAAAAAUGAAAUAAAAUUAACUUAC